rnacentral:rRNA from 1 species
GACGAAGGACCCAAGCGUUAUCCGGAUUCAUUGGGCGUAAAGGGUGCGUAGGCGGCGGAGUAAGUUGGGUGUGAAAUCCCGGGGCUCAACCUCGGAAUUGCAUUCAAUACUGCUUCGCUCGAGUACUGGAGAGGAGGCUGGAAUUUACGGUGUAGCAGUGAAAUGCGUAGAUAUCGUAAGGAAGGCCGGUGGCGAAAGCGAGCCUCUGGACAGUUACUGACGCUGAUGCACGAAGGCCAGGGGAGCAAACGGG